CGGAGGGGCGGACGACGCGGCCCGCGCGCUUCCUUUGUGCGCCCGAGCCCCGCCCCGCGUCCUCCGGAAGGCUCGAAGGCGUCCGGCUCGGGGGGCGCCCCCGGGGACCCGUGGCCUGUGACCCCCGCCCCGGUGGCUCACUGUGGGGUCUCGGAGGCGAGUCUUAAUGAUUGAGGGUUAGUGCGUGUCAGGGCGAAGUGCACGCACCCUCUCCCUUAUUGUCCACAAUAACCCUCCAAGUGAUCAUUAUCCUCCCCACUGGGAGCGAGGAUCAGAGGUUGGAGACCAAGGAGACCUAGAGAGCCGGCACCUCCUAUCAGAGAAACAGCCCAGCAGCAUAACAACCCAGCUUCCGGUUGGCACAAUCCACUACCCCAAGAGCUAGGCACUGCUGGAUUGAAAAGGCCCAAUAAAGGUUUCUAGCUGUCAUCAUAGCCCCACAUGGAAUGCAGGUUGCCAACAGGAAUAGAGAAGGAGCAGAAAGAAGAGCUAGCAGGAAGCGUGAGGAGAAUGAAGCUCGCCCGGGGCCGGCCCCCAUGGAGAUGGAGUGCAGAAGGCCCGCAAGACGCGGUCUUGUGAGGACAAUGAGUGAUGAAUUGAGAAACUUGGGGAUCAGUGUGAAUUUAAGGGGGGAGUGUGCUAGUCUUGAGGGGAGGGAGGAGCCCCCACAGACACCGCCAGCAGGCAUUUGGGGAUUACAAACUGUACAGUGGCUGCAGCCUAAGCCCUGUCUCCUAAUCCCUCAUUGGACAGCUCAGAGUUUAACAACCAAAUAAAGCAAACCAAAAACAAAACUGUUCAUCGGGCACAAAGGUAACUCUUGGUAAGACACCUGGGAGGUACUGAGGGGCCCUGUGGGGGCCACCAGGCUCCAGCCACUAGAAUAACCAGUAGAUGAGAUGCUGGCCAGAGACCUUCUAGAGGCUGCCCUCUGAGGGAGAGCUGGAGACCAGCCAGGUCUGGAAAGCUAAGAGCAUCAGUGGAUGACUGCUCCACCACCUGCUGCUAUGAGACCGGAGACAACCGCUGCUUCCUUUCAGGGCUUCAGUGCAGCAGAGAUCUAGUCUAGGAGGUCAUAUAUGUCUUCCAGCUCUAAAUCUUAGUGGAAAUCAUUGGAAAAAUUGUUUUAAAACUCAGGAUGUCUUGUAGUUGGGAAGCCCAGCAAGGAGAUUGGGGGGAGGGUUGUUUACUGUGUAAAUAUGAGAAUCAGAGUUUGGAUCCCUGGUGCUUACAUAAUGCCAGGGGCGGGGUGGGUGUAGCAGCCCACCUAUAAUCCCAGCACUUGGGAGGUGGAAACAGGGGGUUCCUGGAGCAGGCUGGCUAGAGAAUUAGUCAAACUUGUGAACUUGGGGUUCACAAGAGAGAUUUUUGUUUCAAUAUAUAAAGUGAAGAGUGAUUGAGAGAGACACCUGAUAGCAACCUCUGGCCUGCACACAUGCACACACAUAUUCAUGCAUGCACGCACGUGCACACCCAUGAACAUUCACAUGCACAAAGUAUUUCAGGAUUUAUGAGGUGAAAAAACAAGGUUGAAGAGGAAAAAAAAUGCUAAUUCUAAUGCUAAAAGAUAUAAAGGGUACAGUUAGGAGGCAAAGAACACACUUAGCUCCUGGCCACGAGGGGUGUGGUUUUCAUCUUGCCAUGGGCUCCCACCAGGACAUGUGGCCUUGCCACAGGCCUGAAGCAGCAAGGCCAAGCAACAAUGGAGGAGAAGCCACAAAACUGUGAGCUGAGACGCAGUCUCUCUCAGUCAGCUGAUGACGACAGCAAUGUGUUAUAGAGCUAACACACCAAGAGAUCUGGGACGGGGACUGCUGGCCUCCUGCCCAGCCUGUGAGUCUCCUCCUACUCUUGCUCCAAACUGUGGCACUUCUGUGCAGCUACAAUUGUUACAGCCAAAUGAUACCAUAUCUUGCCCAAGCCAGGGGGAGCUCCUGAGGGUGAGUGAGCCCAUAGAUCAAAGCAGGAAAGGCGUUUUGGGGAAGUGUGUGUCAUUAAUCUUUGGAGGUUAAUAAAAAGCAAAGACCUCGGUUUAACUGCAGCAUUAUCCUGGGUCAGAAAUCCUUUUGUUCAGCAUAUUGCAGUAGCUUUCUACUUAGUCUUCCUGAUUCUGGUUUCUUCCUGCUGUAAUCCAUCUUACGGACAGAGUUCUAAUGAAUCGCCCCAGUGCACAGAUACAACCCCUGACCAAGAGGCAGCAAGGGCUCCCUUUUGUCCGGUUGUCCACAGCCCUGGGACUCAGUAUCUCUUUGUAGCAUAAAGUAAUGUUUUAUUUUUAAUGAUUUAUCUGACCAAGCAAGCUUUGCUGUUUCCUUUACAGCACCGCUGCCAUUUGUUCCAGGCCACAGCCCGAAUGCUGGCCAGCUCUGCCACAUAGCAGCUGUGUGGCACUGGUUAACGCUGGAUCUCUGUGCCACCAUCUUUAAAAUGGGGUUGAGCAUGUUGCCACGUCGUAGUUAUUUCAGUAAAGCACUACUCUCCUUGCUGGGCAGAGUUUAUGCAACCCGCUCGUUUCCUCUGAAACUACUUGAAUGCAGUAGCCGCUCAGUCAGUAAUGCUCAUUGACUGGACGAUAACGAGGUAGGGCUCCAUUUGUGGGAUCUGUUGCUCCCACAAAGCUGCUUCUCUCUGGGCCCACCCUGGAACCCCUGUCCCAUCCUUGCCCUUCACCUUCUUGGAGGAGCUUCAGUGACCUUAACUGACUUCCGUGUGCCAUCGCAUGGCACGCUGCCGUGUGCCUUUGGGGCCCCAGCCUCAAUGCUUCCACUGGCUGCAAUGUGCUCCUUCGGGUCCGGUGACCUCUGGUUUCAGGGUUUUUGGAUCAGGCUUUGUUCCCAUUUUCUCCAUUUGCCAGAACUCAAGUUACUGAUGUUUUCUUAGAUGCGUCCUCUGCUAUAUCCAUUGUGAGGUAACUUAGCCUUGCUUAACUAUGCAUGCCAUUGAUCUUUAGACAUUGAUCACCUUCUUCCACAUUAGCAUCUUCUAAUUAGGAUGCACAGUGAAGCAAUGUCAUUCAACUGACAGCCUGUUCCUUUCUAAAAGUCAAUGAAGGUGCAGAUUUCAACCACAGGGGUCUUUGGUAAAAUUGACUUUUGGGGAAUGCUUUUCUAUACAUCCCCCCACCCCCUUUGGCUGGAGCUCUUUGGCAGACAUCAGGUAAGACCCCCCAAAUGCCCCGUGUACAAGUCUCCUUGCUAAACAGCUUGGAGCCUUAGAGGGAAACCUGGUAUUUUUGUCUUACCCUGCCCUUGGCAGAAGCUGCACUGCAGGGCGGCUCCAGCACGAGUUUUAGAGUCAGAUCCAGGAUAGAAGUUUGGCUCUGCUAAAAAAAUAGCUAUGCAACCUUAGAUAAAUCACCUAACCUUCCUGAAUCUUCAUUUCCUGUUCUGUUAAUGUUGACAUAUAUCAUAUAGGGUAGGUAUUAAUAUCAAAUAGAGUAUUAUAUUUAAACCACACACACACACACCACCACCAUUUUUGCUCAAUGCUUGGUACACAGAAGGUACAAGUAAAUAGUAGCUGUUCUUUUUGUAUUUGUUUUUGUUUGUUUGUUUGUUCUUUUGUCUUUCUAGACAAAGUUUCUCUGUGUAGCCCUGGCUUUCCCAGAACUUACUCUGUAGAACAGGCUGGUCUUGAACUCACAGAGAUCCGCCUGCCUCUGCCUCCCAAGUGCUGGGAUUAAAGGCGUGCAUUAUCAUGUCUGGCUAACAGUAGCUGUUCUUAUAUACUCUAUUGCUUUGAAUGUCUCACGUGACUUUUACAACUCGACUUUCACCUUUUCCUAACAGUAAGCCUGCCGGCAGUGUGCUCAUCUUACAAGCAAGAACUGAGAGGGGUUCCCAGUGACAUCUCCCAUCCAGAAGGCUGGGAGUUUUGAGGCUGACAGAUGACAUAUGGAGUCUUGCACAUAAAGGUAAGGCUGAGCAAACAACACAUCAGCAAGCAUGCAUGAACACAGCAGGCCCCUGAGUGUCACCAUGGCUGCUGAGAACUGUGAAAGUGACCCUGGAGGGACAAUGAAAAGGGUAGGUAGCCAAAGAUGCAUGACUGACAGACAGACAGACAGAUAGACAGACUGACUGAGUCUCAGGUCAAGCCAGGCACAGAGGGGUUUGGGUAUGAGAAGAGAGCUGAGUGUGUUUGCUCGGCUGUGGCAGUCAGUCAGUGUAAGGAAAGAUCAAUUGUAAGCAUGGCAGUUGAUAUGUGGCCAGUGUGGCAGGGCCUCAAAGGUCCUUAUAGUCAGAGUUAGGCCACAGCCAUCAUCAGCAUGUCACAUAGUAGGUCCUCACGUGGUCAGGCAGGAAAGAGAAGACAAAGUGAAGGCAUCUGGAGAUCAAAAAAGGAGCCAACAGGAUAUCUACAACAGCACUGAGCUAAGGCUGUGGCGCCCCGCAGACCGGCAUUCUCUCAGCUGCCUCUGGGCAAGACGGAAAGCCAGUCCAGAGGAGGAGGGUGCCAGGCCUGGUAGUUGCAGAGGGAAAGAUGCGUGAGUCACUCAGGACUGGGGUGUCCCCGGUGCUGUCUGAGGCAGCCCUCCUGUUUGCUCCAUGCUACAAAGUCCCAUCUUCAAAGUACAGCUUGGAUUUCCACAACCUUUCAUAGAAUUUCAGCUCUUGCCCAGCUCUGUACUCCCAUGGUGUGGCGUAGUAGCAGGCACAAAAUAUGUGUCAAAUGAGUAUUUCUUGAACUGAACGGAACAGUUGAAGACGUGGAGAAAAUGAUUGGGAAUGGCGGUUGAUUUGGAAUGCCGGUUCACCGGAUGCAUCUUCCUUUGUGAGGUGGGAGGAAAUGCCUCCGUGAGAUCCAACUGUAAGGUAUUUUCUCAAUUAGUGAUCAAGGGGGAAAGGCCCCUUGUGGG